rnacentral:lncRNA from 1 species
ACAGAUGAUGGCAUUUUUCUCAGAGGGUUACAGAAAUACUAAGUCACCGGUCAUCUCAGUGUGACGUGUGUCCAAGGGAAACCAGGAAAUGAAGGAUAAUGAAGCCAUCUGAGAAGACAACAGUGUCCAGAGGCUCUGGGGCCCUGGGGCAGCACAGCUCCACACUGGUCAGGAAUGGAGGUCAAUGGUGACAAGGCAGGUGGAUGCCCUCCUGAAUCAUCUCAGAACACACAUCUCUUGUGAAGUAAAUACAGUCUAACCACCAAAACCCCCAGCUAGAGGGUGCAGAGAAGACUGUCAGAAGCCAAACUCCAACUCCACAUGUAUAGAAUUCCAC